UAGCUCUGCCUGUUCUGUGAGGGACCUUUCCUCCUGCGAGGCAAAGCUAUGGUUCUGGUCUCAGUCUUGUUUACCAUGUGAUGAAAGCGGUGGUACAAAGUAUGGCAAAUAGGCUUACAAUUUCCCAGAUCCAACCAAAGAGCCUGACUGCCAGAUACAGCCAUCCCUGGUAAACUGCGGGGUUUGCAGUAAAAAUUUCAGUCAGCCACCAGAGGGUGCCCACAGAGCUCUCUGAAAAUGGUCAAAACCUAAGGAAUUCGAGGAAAAAGAACAUUUCCAGCAUAUGUAAGACCAAGACAAAAUCUAGCUCACUCCGACUCGGACAGAUGCUCAGGCCAGCUAGGGAGCUGUAAGUUUGCUGGAGAAGGAAAGCCAGGAUGGCAGUAACAGAAAGUACCUGAAGUUUAGCUAAACAAGUUGCUUCUUGAUUUUAAAUUAGCAAUUGCAAUAGCACUUUGAGGAUUAGCUCAGGGCGCAUUUUCAUUCCUUGGCAAAACUCCCUUCUCCACUCUUUCCCCAACUGUGUGUACAAAGGAAAUGCAAAUACAUGUAAAUAUUAGCCUAAGCCACAGGCUUUCUGGAAGGUAAGGCUGCUGCCGCUGUUGUGCUGCUUUAAAAAAUUCCUCUAAUGCAAGUGAAAGGACAGAGACUUUUCUGAGCCGCUGCUCGGGCACCAAGAGCGCCAGCAAGAAGAAUCGGAGAAGCCAUGGUUCUCUGAAGAGACAGCCUUGCGUGGGGUGCACCUGGGAUGAGAGGAGCAGAGGAACAGCUCCUGCCCUCUCCCCAGCAGGGCUCGGCAUGAAGGCUGUCUGACAUCCCCGUAUCUCCAGGGCCUGGCACCAUGACUGACACACAGAAGGGCAUUGUCUUGUCUGCAGAGGUCACCUGGAAAUACAGAAGCCGCCUUGUCAUCAGCCUGAGGGGGAUGGCAGAGCAGGAAGAUGCCCACUCAGAAGGGUGUCUUUGCAGAGGUUGAGUUGGAGUGGGAGAGAAGAGUGGAAAAAGAAAGAGGUAAGAAGCAAUAGGAGGAAUCCAUGGUUUAGAGAGGUCAAUUAACUUUGUCAAUUAGUAAAUAGUGGAACUGGAGUUUGCUCCGAGUUUAUGCUGGCUUGAAAAUCAAGGCUCUUUUCUCUUGACCAGGAUGUCUGUGAACCCAGGGAAGAAUCAAGCAUGAGUCCCUGGAAUAUACAGAUGUGGGAUGUCAUGGACUGCUGAAAUGCUGCCUGUUCUCCCAUCCUGCAGACACACAAGAGGUCUGGACUCUGAGCAGGUGGGGCCAUCAAGAGAAAAGGGAAGCUCUGGAAUAGCCAUGAGACAAUGGGAGCGCUGAUCAAAGGUGCAUCGCACUUCUGCCUGAAACAUUCCAGGGAUAGAAACUCAUGGAUGAACACUCCCAGAACUCAUUCUGUGCUGGAUAGUGAUAAGUACUCAAAUGUUCAUCUAGUGAUAUGUAGAGUCUACAAUUGCCUUACUAUCAUUUUUUUCCCAUUGGUUUACUUCCCCCUUUGGGCCCUAUAGCUAACCCACCCUCUGUCCCUGGCCUCCAGAACCUUCUGGAGGGUGCUCACAUUCUCUGUGCCCCGUGUGCCGGGGCUCCUUUCCGUCCCUCCCACACACCAAGCACGUGCUUCCUCGAGAGCUUCUGACUAGAGGCUUGUGUCCUGCUCUCUGUGUGAGACACCUGCACAAAGAGGUGCACAUGAGACUGUUCAGGGUUCAGCUCAAGUGCCACCUUUCUAGAGGAGGCUCCCAGACCACCAUAGCUACAACAGCCCUCUUGGGAGGCUAACACUGAUGAUGUUAAAACAAAUCUGAUGGCAGAGCCUCUAUAAACCAAGUCAAAGGCCACACACACAAAAAAACUAUGAAAAAUAUUUCCACAUCACAUAUGACAUGGUUAAUUUCCCUAAAAUAGAAAGGAUUUCUGCAGUUUAAUAAGAAAAAGGCCAGUUGGGCUAUUGGUUUAAUAUGGAAAACAAAACAGGCAAGGAUAUGAACAGUUCACCAAACAAACAACCCAAUAUUCUGUGCAAACAUAUAAAAAAGUACUCAAACUCACAUAUGGUUAAAAAAAAGGAGAGAAACAAUUUUUCAUCUAUCAUACUGGCAAAGAUAAAACAAUAAUAUUACUGUAUCAGCAAGGGAAUGGGAAACAAGUCCCUUCAUAUCCUGCUGAUAAGAGCGUAAACUGGAACAAUUUUUAUAGAGGGUAAUUUGGUAAUAUUUAUCAUAAUUACAAAUGCACAAACCCUUUCACCCAGUGAUUUUUGCUUCUAGAAAUUUGUGCUAUAGAUAUGCUCCUGAGUGUGGGAAUUGAUACAUGUACAAAAGUACUCAUGGCAGUGUUGUGUAUAACAGCAAGAGGCUGGAAACAAUAUAUGGGUCUUAUCAGUAGGGGACUGGAUAGUAAAUUACAGUGCCCCCAUAUAAUAAAAUAGUAUGCAGUCAUUAGAACGAGGCAGAUCUAUUUGUGGUUCCAGAUUGCUUUGAGAGCAUUUUUAUUGGCUUGCCCACAGUUUUUAUUUGCUCUUUUAUAUUUUUUUCUUAAAGAGGGCCCCUAAAGUUGUAUAAGCUUCAGGCCUCCCAAAAACUGGAUACAUUCCUGACCCUAACACCUGGGAGACAGACACAAUUCUUUCAUAACUGAGGCUCAUUCCCAUGGUGGGAGGAAGUGGAUGAUAUGGAGGGAAAUAGUGGGGAGGGGUGGGGAGCAGGGAUGGGUCAAAAUUGAGAGUUUGAAAAAGUUCCAAAGGUGAUUCUGAUAUGCUUCAUCCUUCAACCCCCAAAUUCCUAGUCCUGCACAGAUACCCUCCAGCCCCCAGCACCUUCUCCUUAAUUAAGACUCUAAACCCAGUCUCUCAGAUGAAGACUUAACCUCUGCAACUAAUGUCCAAGUGGCUUCGUCCGUCUCACAGCAGCUCCUGCCUUUGUAGCCUAGUUCUCUGGGCCCUUGAGGUCCCCCAGAGAAGCUCAGACCGGCCAUCCUAACUGCAGAGUUGUUUUUGCUCCUUGGCUUCUCCAGCCCUUUGAUUUGAAACACAGCUACUACUCACCUCAUGUUUCACAAGAAGAUGGCAAGAGACGGAAGUCCCCACAUCACUCUCUAAGUCAGUCAGUCUUGGAGGGGCCAAUACUCAGAAGAAAGCAGAUGCAGACGGACACAAGACAGCCACCAGACAGGUGGCAGACUCCGAGCUCUCCAGUUAGAGAAAGGAGGCCCCAUAGCUGUGGAUCCCACCAGUGAGAUGCAGGCCUGCUUUGGACAAAGUCUCAGCUCGUGAGCAGGGAAGCCCACACAGUUCAUUCCUUGGGGGACUCUCAAAGCUUCUGGGAGCUCAGUGAUACAUUGAAGUUCCGGAGGUUCCUGGGAUGGCCUGAAGUUGGGCAGAAGUGCAUCAAAAGCCUCUCAAAUGUGAUGAUUUAAUUGGAUGGCAAAACUCAAAAGGCAUCUUUUUUUCUACUGAAAAGAACUGGACCCUGUGCAGAAGAAUACUUAGAGCCCUUUGAGGACAGAAAUAAGCCUAUCUUGUUAUAGCUACAGAAGGGUUGAGCCUUCAGGAGACUUGCUACUUACUGUUCUGUGUAAGGCCAAGCCCUCGUAUCUCGGUGCAAUGCAGCCAAAAUUCCUGCAGCAUCUCCAUCAUGCCCAUCUCCCACAUGUUCUCUACACAGCUGCCAAAGUCACCUUCUCACAAAGGAAAAAGAAAGCGUGCUCCCUCCACAGCUGAAAAUUCCCCAAUGGCUACUGACCUCAUUUCAUAAGAAAACAUUAAUUAAAUAAAACCCAGGGAUAGACAGACUUCUUCUUUAAUGGUUGAUGUAGUAAGAAUUUUAGGCUUUGCCCAAUAUGGUGUCUGUUGGGUGGUUGUAUUGCAGUGAUGGGCUGCACUAGGGUAAAGCAAAUGAGUUGCCUCAGGAAACAAAACAGUCACUCUCAGGGCCGUGUGAGGGUGGAAGUAGACACAGACAAUACUCGAAGAAUGGGCAUAGCUAUGUUCCAGUAACACUGUAUUUGACCCACAGCCUAUGUGCAUCAAGCUCUCAGAGCCUUUGCAUUUGCUCCUCCCUCUUCCUGGAACACUCUUUCCUCACAUUUUUGCAUGGAUGGCUCCAAAUGCUGGAUGAUUUAUUAAAAAGAUUAGAUGAAUAUUUGAAGAAUCAGUAAAGUGCCCUAAACAUGAGAAAUAUUUUAGAACAAAUUUGAUUCUAAGAUAUUUCCCCUAAAAUAUCCAAGUAGUCAUCUUGGGCAAGUGGAAGGAUCAGGACUUUGUUGACAUUCUUUACACUUCUUUUAGCCUUGGUUGGUUUAAAAAAUUUUUAAUUAUGUGGGGAGUUGGAAGGAGGGAAAUCACCUUGUCGAGCUGAAGGCCUCUAAGCCCCACUGUGGCCUUGUUGGUUCCUUUUGGUAACCAUGGCCUCUGGUUAAGUAUUGUUUUCUCUGGGAAGGUUCCUCCAACCAGUGACUUGACAGUGUCCUUCCACCACCUAUCACAUUUUGCUGUUGUAUUUUCUCAGAGCACUUAAUCACUAUCUGAAAUUAUUGUGCUUAUUUAUGUGCUUCCUUGUUGACGGUCUCCCUUUUGCAUGUAGACCCAGAAGCCCAGGAAUCCUGUCUAUCUUGUUGACUUCUGUUCCUAGUAUAGUGUCUAGCACAUGGAAGGCACGCAAGAAAAUAUUUGUUGACUGACUCAAUAAAUGAAUGCCUAACUGUGAAAAAUAUUUCCACAUCACAUAUGACAGGGUUAAUUUCCCUAAAAUAGAAAGGAUUUCUGCAAUUUAAUAAGAAAAAGGCCAGUUGGGUUAUUGGUUUAAUAUGGAAAACAAAACAGGCAAGGAUAUGAACAGUUCACCAAACAAACAACCCAAUAUUCUGUGCAAACAUAUGAAAAAGUACUCAAACUCACGUAUGGUUAAAAAAAAAAGGAGAGAAACAAUUUUUCGUCUAUCAUACUGGCAAAGAUAAACAAUAAUAUUACUGUAUCAGCAAGGGUAUGGGAAACAAGUCCCUUCAUAUCCUGCUGAUAUAAGAACACAAGAGCUAAACAUCUUUCAAGAAUGAGAUCCAAUCCUAAGUGAAGUUCUCUGCUUAUCCUUUCUAUAGCCUUAAAAUUAACUCAGAAUCCACCUCGGAUAACUGAAUCAGCUUUAGCUAAUGGAGUUAAAUCAAUUUAGGCAAAAGCAAAUUUGUCAAUAGAAGAAUUUAGACCAAAUCAGAUUUGGUAGAACAUUUUACAACUACAUCAUGGGAAGAUUUUUCAGCUCUUUAUCUUUUACCAAUUUGGCCUGUUUUUCUAAAAUGUUUACUUCUUUCUUUCUACUUUUUAGAUUUUAAUUAACUUUUGGUUUAUUCUCUAGGGAAAUGUAAUUUAAACAUCCAACAAUAGAAGAUUCAUUGAAAAAAAUCAAUUUUCUUGAGUUCUGUCCUUGAAUAUAGAAACACGGUUAAAUAUGCAGCACAUUCAUUUGGUGUAUAGUGAACAUCUGUUUUGUGUCAGGCAUUGUGCUGGGCACUUGAAGUACUAUGGUGAACACAUCCCUGUCCUCAAACAUGUGAGAGAAAUCGAUGUAAAACGGACUUGAACAAAAAAAUAGUCAAGUUUUGAUAGGUGCUAUGGAGGAAAUAAACAAGGACCUGAGAUGGGCAAUGCUUACUUUUGUUCAGGUGAUCAGGAAGAACUUUUUGAAGAAAUAUCAUAUAGGAAACGAUCAGAGAAGCCACUUUCAUGAAGGGUAGGGAAAAACGUAUUCCAAGGUGAAGAUACCACAUGUACAACAUCACCCAGGUGGGAAAGAGCUUGGCUUCUUUCAAGAACUGAAGGGAGAGUGCUGUGACUGGAUCACAGUGAGUGAGGGAGAUGACGCACCAGGAUGAGCUGCUCCCUGGGGCUUCAUAGGCCAAGUUAAUGAGUUUGGAUUUUAUUUCAAGUGUAAGGGUUUCACAGAGGAAAGUGAUGCCAUCUUAUUUAUAUCCAAGGAAGAUUGCUCUCACUUCUGUAUAGAUAAUGAAUUGAUGUGGGGCAAGUGUAAAGUGUUAAAAAAAAACAAACAGCCUGAGAAAAGGCUGUUGCAGGAAUCCAUGCAGAGAUGAUGGGGACCGACUGGUGGUGGCAGUGGAGAUAGGGAGAUGAGGAGAGGCUGGAAUUAGAAUUUGGCAGUAGAAUUACGAGUUGUUUGUGAAUUUGAUGUAGGAACUGAGAUCAUUCAGGCAUAUCAGUCAGUGUCCAAUUGGAAAAACAGAAAUCAUUCUAGGUAUUUCAUACUGAGAGAAUUUAACGUAUGAAAUUAGUUACAAAAUGUUGGAAAGGUUAGAGGAACAAAAAAGGGAAGGUGUGGUAACCUAGAGAUAAGCAUCUGCAGGAAGUCAGGACCACUCCUAAGGCUGGAGGAAAAAAGGGAGGUGCUGAGGUUAUCAGAGGCCAGGAGUGUCUGGCACCUGAGACUGUGGGAACCUGCUGGUGCUGUUGGAACUGGCCACUGCUCCAACCACGGAGGCUGUUGCUGGAACUGGGGAAGGCUAGUGGAGCCCACAGCUGCUGGUUAUUGCCACAGUCACUGCCAGAAACUUUAAAGGGGUGGCAGGGGUGGGGCUUUCCCCUCAUUUCAUCCAGUUUCUCACUAGUGCUUCCCACUGGCAGCAUCUAACUUGGGCCAGCUGGCAAGGGAGUCUGGGAAAUGGCAGCUCACAGGACUCCAUCCACCUCCUACAGAGCAGUGCACAGAAUGCAGGGAAUUGUACUUAGUGCCAACAAGCCAAUGACCAGCACAUGGAAGAAUCAAAGAUUUGUUUGAGGUAGGGAAAACAAUCCCAUAUUCUUUAAAAAUAGAUAUUUCUUUCUUUUUACAAAAACAAUAUAUGCCCAUUAGAAAAAAAUUAGAAAACACAAACAAUAGAACAUAAAAAACUUCCAUAUUCCCACUUACUCAGGAACAAUCAUUAAUAUAAUCUUGGUGUCUCUGUUUCCAAAAAAGCACUCUACAUUUAUUGUAUUGUAACCCACUGUACUAAAUUUAUAGAAUAAACAUUUGCUGGACAUUUACUUUGUUCCCAAUAGUUUCCAGUGUUGAAUAUUUAUGUUCUACCAACAUUUUCCUAUUAUUAAUAUAAAAAAGAAUUGUUACCUGAAAAUCAGUUUGCAAUGUAAGGAAACAGUUCAUGAAUACAAUCGUAACCUCCAAUUCGAUUGUUCUGAGAUUAUUUGCUUAGGUAGAAAGAGAAGGUAAUUAUUUUAAGCAUAAUGUAAAAUGCUGGGUCUUUUCUUAUCCUGUUCAUUGCCUUGGUUGGGGAGAAGAAAACACUCAGAAUUCAGAGCUGCAAACAUGCAGUCUGGGACUGGAGAAGAGCUCUAGCUACAGGCUCCACUGGAGCUGCCCUGCUCCCCUGUCUGUCUGGGCCUCCUGGAGUCAGCCUACAAACAGGGAAGCUGGCCAUCUGGAUUGUACAGAGGGUGAGACACCAAGAGAAUGUGUCUUUCAGUGUAGGCGCUAUUUAUUAUGGCUACAGGGCAACCAUUUUUCUAGUGUUAUCUAUUAGAAUGAUUUUGGCCACUAGUAGCUGAAAACUGUAACUUAAAUUAGCUUAAAAAUGAGGAACUGUAUUAUCUCACAUAACUGGAAGUCCAGAAGUAGGAUAGGCUCCCAGAAAGUCAGAUAACCCACUCAGUGAUGUCACCAAGGUCCCAAGUUCUUCCAGCACUCUGUGCUGCCUUCCUUGGUGCUAUCUUCAUCCUGAGACUGGCUGCCUUCAUGGUGACCCAGAUGGCUGCCAGAGGCCACAGAGAUGCCUGCUUCCUUUCUUCAUGAUCAGCGGGAAGGAAAAAUAGACCUCUCCCUUCAUUAUAAAUCCUCAGUUCAAGCAGGCCAGGGGUUCUCAAUAUUGCCACUAACAUUAAAAUCUCUAGGAGUGCUUUAUUAAUUAUUUAUUUAUUGCUGUUAUUUCAUUUUCCUUAUAUUAAUUUUUUGUGUUUUUUUAUGAUGAUGUAUUGUUCAUUUAUUUGCUACUUUAUUUUUUAAACUGUGGAUACCCAGGCCUUAUUGCUAGAAAUAUUAAUUAGUCUAGGGUGGGGCCCAGCUAAAAGUAGUCUUUAGAAGCUCCCAUGUGAUUCUAAUGUAUAGCCGGGGUGGAGAGCCACUGGAUUAGGCUGGUUUAGGUCACUUGCCCACCCCUGGACUAACAGUCACCAGGGUAAAGCCAAGAAUUGAUUGGCUCAGAAAAGUGGAUCUCAAAGUGUGACUCUAGACCAGCAGAAGCAGCUCCUGGGAACCUGUCAGAAACACAGAUUACUGGGCCCCACUGAGACUCACUGAAUAAGAAGCUCUCGGGGUGGGGCCCUGUGUUGUGUUUUAACAAGCUUGCUAGUUGAGUCUAUUGAAAGCUAAAGUUUGAGAUCCACUGCCUUAGACCAAUCAGGCUUCUUCUCUAGAGCUAGAGAGGAGGUAAAUAUGUGAGCAAAAAUGAGGUCUUUUAGAACAGUGGACCCCAGGGCACUGGAGCCUUAGUACCCCUUCCUCCCAUCACUGGGGCUGAGAGGAGAGGGGAGGAGAGGUCACGGACCUGAACCCCAAGGACCCCUGCUGUACGGAAAGGGCCUCCCAACAGAGGCAUCAAGCCUCAGUCUCCAGGCCUCAGUGGACUGUUAGGAUGGGAAGAAGGCAUAUUCUGUAGGUAUCCAUGCCUUCUCACCCUGGGGCAUCUUGGAAGUUUCUGCAAGAGCUGAAGGGCUGAAAAGACUGACUUGGUGUACACUUUUCUGAAAACUGUGCACUAAUUUCAGUCACUGUACAACUUCGACAGGAUGCUGGAAAAGAAAGGGGCCAUUAGGGAAAAACAAAGGAAAUCUGAACACAGUAAAGACUUUAGUUAAUAAUAAUGUAUCAACAUAUUUCAUAAAUUGUGACAAGUACCAUACUGUGGGAAAAUGGAAGUUCCUAUGGCCAGGAUCCUCACCUGACCCUAAACUACUUGAUAUAAUUGGCCUUCUGCUAGCCUACUGCUUCCACACCCAUAGGCAAUAAGCUAUUAUUGACUGAGUCACUAUAUAAAGAUCUCUGCCCAGUGCUCUGGGCGGAGGCAGAGAUGGAGGUGGAUUACAGAUCUGCAGACUGCUGGAUGCAGAUAUGCUCCUAGUGCUUGACCUACUGCUGUGAGAAUAAAGCUGGCUAUAAAACCUUUUAUCCCAAGAACGUUCUGUUGUCAUUUCUCAAUCUCACUGAAUCCAUAGCGAACUUGCCCGGGGCUGAAACCCUCAGUCAAGACACAUACUAAUAUGUCAAAUUAUUAGGGAAAACUGGGUAUGGAGCAUAUGGGAACUCUGAGUAAAUCUUCAGAAUUUUCCUAUAAAUCUAAAACUAUUCUAAAAUAAAAAGGUUAUUUUAAAUAUGAUACAUUAAGAAGUGAAAUUCUAAUAAAUGGAAACACCUUUGUAAAAGGUUUUAUAAAAUUAAGCAUAAAAGUUUCUUUAAAAUAGUCCAUAUUAAUAUAAACUUGAUACAGCUAUAUUUUCAUGAUUGACCAUUUAUUUUUAGCCAGAGCAAAUGCUGUUUAGACAUUUUCAGCUUAAACAGGAGUUGAAUUGGAAAAUAUUAAUGAAGAUUUCUGAUAUGUUGGAC